rnacentral:lncRNA from 1 species
UCAUUAUAUGGCGCUGCUUGUCAGUAUCACUGUCACCUCGAGAAACCCUCCACCCCUGCCUCCACUGUCAAGUAGCUGUUUGGCAUUCUUCACCGUGAACAUCAGGCACCCUUCCCCUCACACUUUCUGGUAUUCUUCACAUUCACCGCUAGAUAGUUGAUACCCUACGCCGUCGCCUCUUGGCAUUGUUCAUUCAUUACUACAACCGCCACUACUGGAGAACUUUUGCCAUAACCCCUCCCAACACUUUCUGGUAUUCUUCACAUUCACCGCUAGAUAGUUGAUACCCUACGCCGUCGCCUCUUGGCAUUGUUCAUUCAUUACUACAACCGCCACUACUGGAGAACUUUUGCCAUAACCCCUCCCAUUUGCCAACAUUGUUCAUCACUACCACCACCGCCCCCACCAUUCGUCACUAUUACUUCGACCACUGGGUACCAGUAUCAUCGAUAGGGGAAGGCCAAAAACCCACCAUAUAAACACACCAUAGCAGCCUAUGGCCCCACCAUGAGGAGGAUCCUUUCACAAAUUGCCUAUGGCGAUUGUCAAAUCAUUCUGCCAUGACUAUCAUUUGACAAAGUUGAGCAUCCUCUGCCAUUGUGGCAACUAUCAGACAUGCUUUGCCAUGACCGUCAUUUGACAAAGUUGGCAUCCUCUGCCAUUGUGGCCACUAUCAGACACGCUUUGCCAUGACCACCAUUUGACAAAGUUGAGCACCCUCUGCCAUUGUGGCCACUAUCAGACACACUUUGCCAUUAUCAGCAAUGUCG